rnacentral:rRNA from 1 species
AACGAACGCUGGCGGCAUGCCUAACACAUGCAAGUCGAACGAGACCUUCGGGUCUAGUGGCGCACGGGUGCGUAACGCGUGGGAACCUGCCCUUAGGUUCGGAAUAACUCCCCGAAAGGGGUGCUAAUACCGGAUAAUUUCUUCGGACCAAAGAUUUAUCGCCUUUGGAUGGUCCCGCGUUGGAUUAGCUAGUUGGUAGGGUAAAAGCCUACCAAGGCGACGAUCCAUAGCUGGUCUGAGAGGAUGAUCAGCCACACUGGGACUGAGACACGGCACAGAAUACUACGGGAGGGAGCAGUGGGGAAUAUUGGAAAAUGGGCGAAAGCAUGAUCCAGCAAUGCCGCGUGAGUGAUGAAGGCCUGAGGGUUGUAAAGCUAUUUUACCCGGGAUGAUAAUGACAGUACCGGGAGAAUAAGCGCCGGCUAACUCCGUG